AUUAGAAAAAUAGUAAACUAUACCUGGGUAGGAUGAUAUCUGGGGAAACUCUGAUGGGUGUCUGUAAUGGUCCUUACCUGAUCUGGGUAUAAGGUUGAAAAACUAAUUGAACCAGGUAGUAGUUAG
rnacentral:ncRNA from 1 species